rnacentral:rRNA from 1 species
CUACGGGCUGCACCAGUGAGGAAUUUUGCGCAAUGGGGGGAACCCUGACGCAGCAACGCCGCGUGAGUGAUGAAGGCUUUCGGGUCGUAAAGCUCUGUCAAGUGGGAAGAACCUAUGCAGUGUUAAUAUCACUGUAUACUGACGGUACCACUGAAGGAAGCACCGGCUAACUCCGUGCCAGCAGCCGCGGUAAUACGGGGGGUGCAAGCGUUAUUCGGAAUCAUUGGGCGUAAAGGGCACGUAGGCGGCUUGGUGAGUCAGAUGUGAAAGCCCGGGGCUUAACCCCGGAAGUGCAUUUGAUACUGUCAGGCUUGGGUAUGGGAGAGGGAAGUGGAAUUCCUGGUGUAGAGGUGAAAUUCGUAGAUAUCAGGAGGAACACCGGUGGCGAAGGCGACUUCCUGGACCAAUACUGACGCUGAGGUGCGAAGGCGUGGGUAGCAAACAGGAUUAGAUACCCGGGUAGUC